ACGGAACUUCGGGUUUAGCGGCGGACUGGUGAGUAACGCGUGAGAAUCUGCCUCUAGGUCGGGGACAACAAUUGGAAACGAUUGCUAAUACCCGAUGUGCAGCAAUGUGAAAGAUUUAUUGCCUAGAGAUGAGCUCGCGUCUGAUUAGCUAGUAGGUGUGGUAAUGGCGCACCUAGGCGACGAUCAGUAACUGGUCUGAGAGGAUGACCAGUCACACUGGGACUGAGACACGGCCCAGACUCCUACGGGAGGCAGCAGUGGGGAAUUUUCCGCAAUGGGCGAAAGCCUGUACGGAGCCAUACCGCGUGAGGGACGAAGGCUUUUGGGUCGUAAACCU
rnacentral:rRNA from 1 species